rnacentral:rRNA from 1 species
UACGGAGGGAGCUAGCGUUGUUCGGAAUUACUGGGCGUAAAGCGCACGUAGGCGGCUUUGUAAGUUAGAGGUGAAAGCCCGGGGCUCAACUCCGGAACUGCCUUUAAGACUGCAUCGCUUGAAUCCAGGAGAGGUGAGUGGAAUUCCGAGUGUAGAGGUGAAAUUCGUAGAUAUUCGGAAGAACACCAGUGGCGAAGGCGGCUCACUGGACUGGUAUUGACGCUGAGGUGCGAAAAGCGUGGGGGAGCAAACAGG